UCAGAUGUAGUGUAGCGGGAACACGGCUUCUUUUCAUUUUCCAACUGGUUUUUCAUUUCCAGAGGCAAUCCAGGGUUCGAAUCCCUGUGUCUGAG